GAAUUAAGACAUCCGGGAUAAAUGACUCAGCUGAGCUCAAUGAAGCCAAAACAUGUGCGUCCAGGCUUAAUUGGUUGCACAAAGACCAAGCCAGGAUGAGCAGACACGGAUUCAUUAAGCCAGGUGAAACCAAUCCUGGAUAGGUGCGCGCUCACGGCUCACUCAAAUAGACCCCGCCACAGAUCACAGAUUAACUGAUUUACCAUGGCAACUAGAGCCGCGUACUUUUCCCCGUCGGAAGCACAAAUCCUCAUGGAGGCAUACGAGGAGGUAAAAGAUAUAAUUAAGAAGAAAGGCAACACCGCCACAGUGAUAAAGCAAAGAGAAAAGCGUGGCAAAGUAUUGCAGACCGCCUGAAUGCGUAAGUAGUGCACAAUUACACACUCACCGCUCCGCUGAAACAUCACAAUUACAAUUCAAAUAUUUAAUUCACAUCUCCAAAAAUGCAGUUGUACUGUAAUUAUGAAACGGUUAAAUUUUUAAUUGAAAUGCACUGCAGAUAUGAGUGAAAUUGUGUAAAGUAACUCCAUCACACUGUAUAAAGCUAUGAUACAUUUUUUGAUAUUUUUACUGAAAACAAGACAAAAAUACCAAGUAAUUUUUUGCAGUGUGACUCCAUUAAAUGUGUGUGUGUGUGUGUGUGUGUGUGUGUGUGUAGAUUAAACAUGAACGGGCCAAAACGGACAUGGCAGCAGGUCAAAAUCAAAUACAAGAACAUUCUGCAGAAUGCAGUGAAAAAGAAUACCCACAGACAAGGCACGGGUGGUGGGUCACCAAAGGCUGACCUUACCCCAGCAGAGGACAUGGCCUUGGAGCUAAAUAAAGGCAGGCCCGUCUUAGAGGGGAUCCCUGGGGGGAAAGAGACGAGCAUAGGUUCCUCCCAAGAUGCCACCCGCUUCAUUCAAGUGCCUGGCAGCACUGUGUUCCUGUUAGAGCCACCAGCACAAGCACCAGACGAUGCUGAUCCAGUGAGUACUCCAUCAAAGGCAUACUGUAGGCCUGGCAUGUCUUGUCUACUAGCUUCAAUAUGAAUCCGAUUAAAUGUGAUUGGGUGAAGGCCCCAGUGCAGCAGCAACAGCACAUGAUGGAGACGAUGAUGAGGAGGAGACCAUCUCUCUGGAUUCCAGAAGGCAUGAGGUAUCAUGUUAAGUCUGUGAAAGUACUAUUUACUCUACAAUGGUGAGGAGUCCUCAUCAAAAUCAAAAAAUCUAAUUUCUUUUACAGGACCCAGAUGCUAUACAGUGGGAAAACCAGCCUGGCAACAUAGUGCGUAUUAAUAAAAGGACACCACAUCCUGCCAAAUUCCAGCUGCGCUAAUUGUAUUGUGUUCACAGAGCUCACAAGCUAUCAGAAAGUUGUAUGGCAACCACCUCCGGCGCCAAAUAGAACUGGCAGACAUAGACAUUCAGUACAAGAAGAAAAAGAUGGAAAAUCUUGCACUGGAGUCCGAAAUAAAAAAGAGGACAAUUAGGAAACUGGACCUUGAAAUAAAAAAACUUGAGAGGGAAGUGAGAUAUGCCUUCAAUGUACACUGUAUGCUAACUGUAAC